AUUGAACGCUGGCGGCAUGCCUUACACAUGCAAGUCGAACGGUAACGCGGGGCAACCUGGCGACGAGUGGCGAACGGGUGAGUAAUGCAUCGGAACGUGCCCAGUAGUGGGGGGAUAGCCCGGCGAAAGCCGGAUUAAUACCGCAUACGACCUACGGGUGAAAGCGGGGGACUCGCAAGAGCCUCGCGCUAUUGGAGCGGCCGAUGUCAGAUUAGGUAGUUGGUGGGGUAAAAAGCCUACCAAGCCGACGAUCUGUAGCUGGUCUGAGAGGACGACCAGCCACACUGGGACUGAGACACGGCCCAGACUCCUACGGGAGGCAGCAGUGGGGAAUUUUGGACAAUGGGCGCAAGCCUGAUCCAGCCAUGCCGCGUGCGGGAAGAAGGCCU
rnacentral:rRNA from 1 species